rnacentral:rRNA from 1 species
GACGAACGCUGGCGGCGUGCUUAACACAUGCAAGUCGAACGCUGAAGCUCAGCUUGCUGGGUGGAUGAGUGGCGAACGGGUGAGUAACACGUGAGUAACCUGCCCUCUUCUUUGGGAUAACGCCCGGAAACGGGUGCUAAUACUGGAUAUUCACUGAUUCUCGCAUGGGGGUUGGUGGAAAGGUUUUUUCUGGUGGGGGAUGUGCUCGCGGCCUAUCAGCUUGUUGGUGGGGUGAUGGCGUACCAAGGCUUUGACGGGUAGCCGGCCUGAGAGGGUGACCGGUCACAUUGGGACUGAGAUACGGCCCAGACUCCUACGGGAGGCAGCAGUGGGGAAUAUUGCACAAUGGGCGAACGCCUGAUGCAGCGACGCCGCGUGAGGGAUGGAGGCCUUCGGGUUGUAAACCUCUUUCGCUCAUGGUCAAGCCGCAGCGUUGGGUUGUGGUGAGGGUAGUGGGUAAAGAAGCGCCGGCUAACUACGUG